AGAGUUUGAUCAUGGCUCAGGAUGAACGCUGGCGGCGUGCCUAAUACAUGCAAGUCGAGCGAACCACUUCGGUGGUGAGCGGCGAACGGGUGAGUAACACGUAGGUGAUCUGCCCAUCAGACGGGGACAACGAUUGGAAACGAUCGCUAAUACCGGAUAGGACGAAAGUUUAAAGGUGCUUCUGGCACCGCUGAUGGAUGAGCCUGCGGCGCAUUAGCUAGUUGGUAGGGUAAAGGCCUACCAAGGCGACGAUGCGUAGCCGACCUGAGAGGGUGAACGGCCACACUGGGACUGAGACACGGCCCAGACUCCUACGGGAGGCAGCAGUAGGGAAUCUUCGGCAAUGGGCGAAAGCCUGACCGAGCAACGCCGCGUGAAUGAUGAAGGCCUUCGGGUUGUAAAAUUCUGUUAUAAGGGAAGGACGACUUUAGUAGGAGAUGGCUAGAGUGUGACGGUACCUUAUGAGAAAGCCACGGCUAACUACGUGUCAGUAGCCGCGGUAAUACGUAGGUGGCGAGCGUUAUCCGGAAUUAUUGGGCGUAAAGAGCGCGCAGGUGGUUGAUUAAGUCUGAUGUGAAAGCCCACGGCUUAACCGUGGAGGGUCAUUGGAAACUGGUCGACUUGAGUGCAGAAGAGGGAAGUGGAAUUCCAUGUGUAGCGGUGAAAUGCGUAGAGAUAUGGAGGAACACCAGUGGCGAAGGCGGCUUCCUGGUCUGUAACUGACACUGAGGCGCGAAAGCGUGGGGAGCAAACAGGAUUAGAUACCCUGGUAGUCCACGCCGUAAACGAUGAGUGCUAAGUGUUGGGGGUCGAACCUCAGUGCUGAAGUUAACGCAUUAAGCACUCCGCCUGGGGAGUACGGUCGCAAGACUGAAACUCAAAGGAAUUGACGG
rnacentral:rRNA from 1 species